AUAGCGAACGUGUGUUAGCGUGUUUAUAGCGAGCGUGUGUUAGCGUGUUUAUAGCGACUGUGUGUUAGCGUGUUUAUAGCGAGCGUGUGUAAUGAGUGUCCAGUUCCACUGAGCUUGAGAGGAACCGAAGCUGCUGAUUGGCCGGUUGCUUUAACAUUCAUUAUCUAUCUAUCUGUCUGUAUAUCUACACUAUAUGGCUAAAAGUAUGUGCACCCCUGAGCAUCACACCCACAUCAGGUUCUUCCCCAAACUGUUACUGAGUCUGAAGCACACAAUUGUAUAGAGUGUCUCUGUACGCUGUAGCGUUAUUAUUAUUCACUGGAACUCAGAGGACCAAACACUGUUCCAGCACGACAAUGAUGAACUGGAACUGGAGUCUCCUCGACAUCCCAACAUCAGCAGCUGACCUCAACCUCGCUAAUGCUCUUGUACCUGAACGAACACACAUCCCCACAGCCACGCCCCAAAAGCCUUCCCAGAAGAGAGAGUGGAGCGCAUUAUAACAGUAAAGGGGGAAUUAAACUGGAACGGGACGUUCAGCAAGCACAUAUGGGUGUGAUGGUCAGGGGCGCACAAAUUUGUUCAACAGUUCAUUUGUUGGUUUAGCAGUACAGUGUACCGUGUAUGUUCUGGUGGUUUUGUUCCUUUAGACAUUGUGCACUUCCCCUAAUCCCCUGAGUGGGCAGGAGCUGUCAGGAGACGUUCCCUAUUCCCUAAUAGAAUUUACUGCCAAGUGCAAUUUAAUUUUCUCUCUGGGUUUACUCUCUUCCUCCUCUCUUGUUUUCUGAGGAAAAAGGGAGCAUUAUUCUGUUCUCCCUCUGUCUGUCUCUGUGGAGGGAUGUCUCUCUGUCUCUCUCCCUCUGUCUCUCUAUCUCUCUGUGUGUGAUGGACAGACCUGCUGUGUUCAUGGAGUGAGGAAGAUCUGACUCGUUCUGCGGCUCACCUGAGGACACAGGUAACUCCAAUAAAAAGGGUGAUAAACUCCGUCUGUCCUUGUCUCCGGGGUGGAACUUUAUAUUGUGUACCUUUGGUGUGUAGCUUAUCUUUCACCUCUACACGUGGAUAUGGUGUCCUUCCAAAGAAAAAGUUUUUUGUCGUAUUAAAAACAACAACAACAACGAUGUUACAUCACAGCGCGAUAUGUGACGUUCAGGUAAAAAGAGAGAGAGAGAGAGAGAGAGAGAGAGAGAGAGAGAGAGAGAGAAGAUGAAGAUGAGCAAUUAAAAAGAAGGACAAGGUGGACAAGAAGAGGUUGAUGAUGCUGAUGAUGAUGAUACUGCUGAUGAUGAUGAUGAUGAUGGUGAUGAUGAUGAUGAUGAUGAUACUGCUGAUGAUGAUGAUGAUGAUACUGCUGAUGAUGAUGAUGAUGGUGAUGAUGAUGAUCAUGGUGGUGGUGGUGGUGGUGUUUGUGGUGUUUUUUUUUUUUUAUCCCAGUGCCUUGUUCCUCUUGUUAUCCUUAAAGGAAAUGGGAAGUGAAGCUUGAGUUCAUCUCACCUGAACUCAGAGCUCCACUGGGAUUUUCUACUGCAUCAGUGGGUGAAAUGAGCUCUGUCACACACACACACACACACACACACACACACACACACACACACACACACACACACACUCACUCUCACUCUCUCUCACACACACACAUGGAUGGUAUUGUUAUAAGAUCUUUUUCAGUUAAUGCAUUUGCUGCAGUUCUUCAAUAAAUGUCAUCAAAGAACCCAAUUCAGUGUAGUGUCAUGUUUUCACUUCUUUAGUGGAAAAUGUAAA